rnacentral:rRNA from 1 species
ACGGCUCAGUAACACGUGGAUAACCUGCCCAAGGGUCCGGGAUAACCCCGGGAAACUGGGGAUAAUACCGGAUGGAUCACUAGUGCUGGAAUGCUUGGUGGUCGAAAGGUAACGCCUUUGGAUGGGUCUGCGGCGGAUUAGGUUGACGCCGGUGUAACGUACCGGCGUGCCUGUAAUCCGUACGGGUUGUGGGAGCAAGAGCCCGGAGAUGGAUUCUGAGACACGAAUCCAGGCCCUACGGGGCGCAGCAGGCGCGAAAACUCUACAAUGCAGGCAACUGCGAUAGGGGGACAUCGAGUGGCAUCCACCUUGGGUGCCUGUCCAACCGUCUAAAAAACGGUUGUUAGCAAGGGCCGGGUAAGACCGGUGCCAGCCGCCGCGGUAAUACCGGCGGCUCGAGUGGUGGCCGAUAUUAUUGAGUCUAAAGGGUCCGUAGUCGGCUUUGCAAGUCUCUCGGGAAAUCCAGCGGCUUAACCGUUGGUCGUCCGGGGGGUACUACAUUGCUUGGGACUGGGAGAGGUAGGAGGUACUCAGGGGGUAGGAGUGAAAUCCUGUAAUCCUUUGGGGACCACCGGUGGCGAAGGCGUCCUACCAGAACAGGUCCGACGGUGAGGGACGAAAGCUAGGGGCACGAACCGGAUUAGAUACCCGGGUAGUCCUAGCCGUAAACGAUGCUCGCUAGGUGUCACAACAGUCGUGAAUUGUUGUGGUGCCGUAGGGAAGCCGUGAAGCGAGCCACUUGGGAAGUACGACCGCAAGGUUGAAACUUAAAGGAAUUGGCGGGGGAG